AUGGCUGCUCCGGGCAGAGCGGUACUGGUCAAGUCGGUCAUCACGGCCAUUGCCAUUUAUUACAUGACGGCGCUAAAUCUUCCAGUUCAGGUCAUGAAAAAGAUUGAUUCCCUUCGACGAGCUUUCCUAUGGGCUGGGUGUGAUAAGGUCACUGGUGGCAAUUGCAAGAUCAACUGGGAGCAGGUGUGCAAG
rnacentral:rRNA from 1 species